CUUAGAGAGCUGUGCCAUCUCAUGGUCUGGACAGUUCUUUUCGCAAUGCCAAGGAGAAAAAUGUCAUUUCGGUGCUCGUCCAUCUUGACAUUUCCACAUAAAACUCGACUCCAAGCUCAGAACAAGCAGCAAACAAAAUCUGGCUAAGAUUUGACUUGCAUGGUAACUCAUAAUACAGCCUUUCAUCUCUGCACAGAUAUGGUCCCUCUUCUUAUUCCAUGGAUUGCAACAUGUCAAAUUUUGUAUUCGUAAGUGUGUAUAGCUAGUGAAACCAAAUUACAACCGGCUAUUGUCCUGAAGACUCCAUACUUCCCACGCAAAAGCAAGCUAUAGGCUGUUGGAGGUUCAGUCCCCCGACGUGUAAGGAAUGCUGCUCCCCAUCCCCACACAGGGACUAUGAGGCAAACCGACAGCCAGUGCUGCUGUCAUCAGAGCAAGGCAGAGAACUACAUCUGGAAUGUUCACAAGCUGCUGUGGCAACCCAUUCCCCAUGGCCUUCAAGUCCUUCAGACAGAAUGAAAAUGGCGCUAUAAUGACAGUUUAUGAAAUGAAAGCAAAUAUAGUGGCCUUGCAUUGCAGAUUUUCUAUAGCAGAGAGAAUGGUAAUAAAGACAGAAAGUGCAUGCUGACCCCCAUCUUGCUGUAUUUCCAUAACAACGCAGCAGCUCUGUAGCUCCAGUGGGGCAAGGCAUCAGGCGAGAGAGUUAUGAAUGCUUCCUUUAUGUGCAGAUUCUUCAGUGUCAGAGAAGCGGGGGGGGGGCUUCUCUGAGGUGCAUUUUUUUCUUAGGUCAUUGAUAAAAGAUAAAUUCCCUAAAGUGAAUUUUUGGAAAUCGUUUGUUUGCUAGUUGAUUCUCAAACACUCUUGCCAACAAGAGAAAGCCCGAGA
rnacentral:lncRNA from 1 species